CCCUUAGAUGUUCUGGGCCGCACGCGCGCUACACUGAUGCAUUCAACGAGUCUAAAACCUGGUCUGAUAGGGCUGGGUAAUCUUUUGAAUGUGCAUCGUGAUUGGGAUAGAUGAUUGCAAUUCUUCAUCUUCAACGAGGAAUGCCUAGUAAACGCAAGUCAUCAGCUUGCAUUGAUUACGUCCCUGCCCUUUGUACACACCGCCCGUCGCUCCUACCGAUUGAAUGUUCCGAUGAAUACCAUGGACUGAGAGUAUGAAUGGGUUCGCCUAUUUCUGCUUCUCGGGAAGUGGAGUAAAUCUUAACAUUUAGAGGAAGUAAAAGUCGAAACA
rnacentral:rRNA from 1 species